rnacentral:rRNA from 1 species
UACAGAGGGUGCUAGCGUUGUUCGGAAUCAUUGGGCGUAAAGGGCGUGUAGGCGGUUUUGUUAAGUCAUGUGUGAAAUCCCUCGGCUCAACCGGGGAACGACGCAUGAAACUGGCAAGCUAGAGUACCAAAGAGGGGGGUGGAAUUCCCGGUGUAGCGGUGAAAUGCGUAGAGAUCGGGAGGAACACCAGUGGCGAAGGCGAGUCUCUGGGAUGAUGCUGACGCUGAGGCGCGAAAGCCAGGGGAGCAAACGGG